UUUGUCCUGUUCUGCACGGCAGGCAGCAGCAAUUCCCUGGCACUGCGUGGAGCUGUACAGGCUAAUGACAAACUAUGUGACCUUCAUGGUGGGGGAGAUUCUGCUCCUCAUCCUGACCAUCUGCUCCCUGGCUGCCAUCUUUCCCCGGGCCUUUCCUAAGAAGCUUGUGGCCUUCUCAACUUGGAUUGACCGGACCCGCUGGGCCAGGAACACCUGGGCCAUGCUCGCCAUCUUCAUCCUGGUGAUGGCAAAUGUCGUGGACAUGCUCAGCUGUCUCCAGUACUACACGGGACCCGGCAAUGCAACGGCAGGGAUGGAGACGGAGGGCAGCUGCCUGGAGAACCCCAAGUAUUACAACUAUGUGGCCGUGCUGUCCCUCAUCGCCACCAUCAUGCUGGUGCAGGUCAGCCACAUGGUGAAGCUCACGCUCAUGCUGCUCGUCGCAGGCGCCGUGGCCACCAUCAACCUCUAUGCCUGGCGCCCCGUCUUUGAUGAAUACGACCACAAGCGUUUUCGGGAGCACGACUUACCUAUGGUGGCCUUAGAGCAGAUGCAAGGAUUCAACCCUGGG
rnacentral:sRNA from 1 species